rfam:Oryza sativa Indica Group cultivar 93-11 Ctg037624, whole genome shotgun sequence.
UACAACGUUUGACUCUUUGUUUUAUUUAAAAUUUUUCAAUGAUUAAUAUUUUUAUUGUUAUUAGAUGAUAAAACAUGAAUAGUGCUUUAUGCUUGACUAAUUUUUUUAAUUUUUUUUAUAAAUUUUUUAAAUAAGAUGGACGGUCAAACGUUGGACUCAAAAACUAA